rnacentral:rRNA from 1 species
GAUGAACGCUGGCGGCGCGCCUAACACAUGCAAGUCGAACGAUUAAAGCACCUUCGGGUGUGUAUAAAGUGGCGAACGGCUGAGUAACACGUGGGCAACCUGCCCCUUUCAUUGGGAUAGCCACGGGAAACCGUGGAUAAUACCGAAUACUUCGAGACUUCCGCAUGGAAGACUCGAGAAAGCUCCGGCGGAGAGGGAUGGCCCGCGGCCUGUUAGCUUGUUGGUGGGGUAACGGCCUACCAAGGCAAUGAUGGGUAGCUGGGUUGAGAGACCGACCAGCCAGAUUGGGACUGAGACACGGCCCAGACUCCUACGGGAGGCAGCAGUGGGGAAUCUUGCACAAUGGGCGAAAGCCUGAUGCAGCGACGCCGCGUGCGGGAUGAAGGCCUUCGGGUUGUAAACCGCUUUCAGCAGGGACGAGGCGAAAGUGACGGUACCUGCAGAAGAAGCCCCGGCUAACUACGUG